CCAGACUCCUACGGGAGGCAGCAGUGAGGAAUAUUGGUCAAUGGCCGGGAGGCUGAACCAGCCAAGUCGCGUGAGGGAAGACGGCCCUACGGGUUGUAAACCUCUUUUGUCAGGGACGAAGCAAGUGACGGUACCUGACGAAUAAGCCACGGCUAACUACGUGCCAGCAGCCGCGGUAAUACGUAGGUGGCAAGCGUUAUCCGGAUUUAUUGGGUGUAAAGGGCGUGUAGGCGGGAAUGCAAGUCAGAUGUGAAAACUAUGGGCUCAACCCAUAGCCUGCAUUUGAAACUGUAUUUCUUGAGUGCUGGAGAGGCAAUCGGAAUUCCGUGUGUAGCGGUGAAAUGCGUAGAUAUACGGAGGAACACCAGUGGCGAAGGCGGAUUGCUGGACAGUAACUGACGCUGAGGCGCGAAAGCGUGGGGAGCAAACAGGAUUAGAUACCCCAGUA
rnacentral:rRNA from 1 species